rnacentral:rRNA from 1 species
UACGUAGGGUGCGAGCGUUAAUCGGAAUUACUGGGCGUAAAGGGCGCGUAGGCGGCCGAUCAAGUCGGGGGUGAAAGCCUGUGGCUCAACCACAGAAUUGCCUUCGAUACUGUUUGGCUUGAGACCGGAAGAGGUAAGUGGAACUGCGAGUGUAGAGGUGAAAUUCGUAGAUAUUCGCAAGAACACCAGUGGCGAAGGCGGCUUACUGGUCCGGUUCUGACGCUGAGGCGCGAAAGCGUGGGGAGCAAACAGGG